AAUGGACGCAAGUCUGAUGGAGCAACGCCGCGUGAGUGAAGAAGGCUUUCGGGUCGUAAAACUCUGUUGUUGGAAAAGAAUGGUCGGCAGAGUAACUGUUGUCGGCGUGACGGUAUCCAACCAGAAAGCCACGGCUAACUACGUGCCAGCAGCCGCGGUAAUACGUAGGUGGCAAGCGUUAUCCGGAUUUAUUGGGCGUAAAGCGAGCGCAGGCGGUUUUUUAAGUCUGAUGUGAAAGCCCUCGGCUUAACCGAGGAAGCGCAUCGGAAACUGGGAAACUUGAGUGCAGAAGAGGACAGUGGAACUCCAUGUGUAGCGGUGAAAUGCGUAGAUAUAUGGAAGAACACCAGUGGCGAAGGCGGCUGUCUGGUCUGUAACUGACGCUGAGGCUCGAAAGCAUGGGUAGCGAACAGGAUUAGAUACCCUGGUAGUCCAUGCCGUAAACGAUGAAUGCUAGGUGUUGGAGGGUUUCCGCCCUUCAGUGCCGCAGCUAACGCAUUAAGCAUUCCGCCUGGGGAGUACGACCGCAAGGUUGAAACUCAAAGGAAUUGACGGGGGCCCGCACAAGCGGUGGAGCAUGUGGUUUAAUUCGAAGCAACGCGAAGAACC
rnacentral:rRNA from 2 species